rnacentral:rRNA from 1 species
AUUGAACGCUGGCGGCAGGCUUAACACAUGCAAGUCGAGCGAGCGGCGGACGGGUGAGUAAUGUCUGGGAAACUGCCUGAUGGAGGGGGAUAACUACUGGAAACGGUAGCUAAUACCGCAUACGAUCAGAUGGGCACAGAUGGUAUUAGCUAGUAGGUGGGGUAAUGGCUCACCUAGGCGACGAUCCCUAGCUGGUCUGAGAGGAUGACCAGCCACACUGGAACUGAGACACGGCCCAGACUCCUACGGGAGGCAGCAGUGGGGAAUAUUUCACAAUGGACGCAAGCCUGAUGCAGCCAUGCCGCGUGUGUGAAGAAGGCCUGCGGGUUGUAAAGCACUUUCAUCGAGGAGGCGGUACUCGCAGAGGAAGCACCGGCUAACUCCGUGCCAGCAGCCGCGGUAAUUC